CGAAUCAAAAAGGCGCCUCGGCUGCAUCACUGGCACUCAACUCUUGUUAACGUAAACUUUUAGAGAGCAGAAUUCUGGAAAUCUGAAGACGGGGGUCGUCGUCUCGCAGGAAAGUGACAGGAAAAUGCACUGGGAAGGAUGGGAAAAGAAUUGCUUGGGGUGACAUCAUAUAACACCCCCCCCAACAAAGCACAAUGAAUGUUCAAUAAACAGAUACCUGGAAGUGACUACAGUUUGUUUGCAAAUGCCUCUAAAGUAGAGUGACUUCCAUGGUGGCAGAAGGGAAAGGAGGAAGCUGGGAGCCCCACUGACAUAUGCCCCAAAACAGGGAGAGCUGU
rnacentral:lncRNA from 1 species